UUCUGCUGCUGCUGCUGUUGCUGAUGAUGAUCAUGAUGAUGAUGAUGAUGAUGAUGAUCAUCAUCAUCAUCAUCAUCAUCAUCAUCAUCAUCCUGA
rnacentral:pre_miRNA from 1 species